rnacentral:lncRNA from 1 species
GGACACCGUGAGCGCCGCACCGACUCCUGACCGCCAUCCAGCCCCUUCAUUUCCCCUCUCCUGCAGGGCUGGGGCUUGACCUUGCGUGAACACCAAUCAAAGCUGAACUGGGGUCAACCGCAGGAAACCUGCCAGUGAUCUUUAAUUCAGAUGUGCUGUGGGAGUUUCAGGCGAUGUACCUGGAGGUUUGCAGUCGCUGUCAGAGUGGCCCACUGCUCAUUCCUGUGUCGCUGAGGAAAAUACAAGCCGACGGCAGAACAGACCUGUUUGCCCCAAGCAGAGGCUCCUGAAAUGAAGGCGAGAUGUUGUCAUUCUGAGGGCAGACGCUCAGGGGGUUGGUUUUCACGCAUACACUCAAAAGUCUUCAUUCCAGAAAUACAUUUUAUGUCUUUGAAUUUCAAAUACAUAUUUGGUUUCCUGACCCUAUGCUGGAAACUAGAGACACAAAAGCAAGUAACAGUGACCUCUGCACUCUGACCUCAGGGACCAAUCGCCUUUAUCGCAUCUGCUGAUUGGACCCAGUGAAGGCUCUCCCCUAUCAUAGAGCAAUUAUCAAAUAUUUGUUCAGCCUGAGUUAAGUCUUUUAAACAAUAUCAAGAAACAAAUUUAUAUUGAUUUAAACUUGAAACGUCUAAGCUGUCUUCAUGAAAAAUAUAUGGCAUUCCUAUAUUCUC